GACGGAGGAUGCAAGCGUUAUCCGGAAUGAUUGGGCGUAAAGCGUCCGCAGGUGGCAGUUCAAGUCUGCUGUCAAAGACCGGGGCUUAACUUCGGAAAGGCAGUGGAAACUGAACAGCUAGAGUAUGGUAGGGGCAGAGGGAAUUCCUGGUGUAGCGGUGAAAUGCGUAGAGAUCAGGAGGAACACCGAUGGCGAAGGCAGGUCUCUGGGCUGACACUGACGCUCAUGCACGAAAGCGUGGGGAGCAAACAGG
rnacentral:rRNA from 1 species